rnacentral:rRNA from 1 species
UACAGAGGUCUCAAGCGUUGUUCGGAUUCAUUGGGCGUAAAGGGUGCGUAGGCGGCGCGGUAAGUCGGGUGUGAAAUCUUGGGCUUAACUCCGAAACUGCAUUCGAUACUGCCGUGCUUGAGGACUGGAGAGGAGACUGGAAUUUACGGUGUAGCGGUGAAAAUGCGUAGAUAUCGUAAGGAAGACCAGUGGCGAAGGCGGGUCUCUGGACAGUUCCUGACGCUGAGCACGAAGGCCAGGGGAGCAAAC